rnacentral:tRNA from 1 species
UAUACUUUAGUGUAUGAUGCACAAGAAUUUUUGAUGUUCUUAGAACAGUUUGACUCUGUAAUGUAUAA